UGCUAACGAUAGCUGAUGAGCUUAAAA
rnacentral:piRNA from 1 species